ACACAUGCAAGUCGAGGGGCAUCAGGAAGAAAGCUUGCUUUCUUUGCUGGCGACCGGCGCACGGGUGAGUAACACGUAUCCAACCUGCCCUUUACUCGGGGAUAGCCUUUCGAAAGAAAGAUUAAUACCCGAUAGCAUAAUGAUUCCGCAUGGUUUCAUUAUUAAAGGAUUCCGGUAAAGGAUGGGGAUGCGUUCCAUUAGGUUGUUGGUGAGGUAACGGCUCACCAAGCCUUCGAUGGAUAGGGGUUCUGAGAGGAAGGUCCCCCACAUUGGAACUGAGACACGGUCCAAACUCCUACGGGAGGCAGCAGUGAGGAAUAUUGGUCAAUGGGCGUUAGCCUGAACCAGCCAAGUAGCGUGAAGGAUGAAGGCUCUAUGGGUCGUAAACUUCUUUUAUAUAAGAAUAAAGUGCAGUAUGUAUACUGUUUUGUAUGUAUUAUAUGAAUAAGGAUCGGCUAACUCCGUGCCAGCAGCCGCGGUAAUACGGAGGAUCCGAGCGUUAUCCGGAUUUAUUGGGUUUAAAGGGAGCGUAGGUGGACUGGUAAGUCAGUUGUGAAAGUUUGCGGCUCAACCGUAAAAUUGCAGUUGAUACUGUCAGUCUUGAGUACAGUAGAGGUGGGCGGAAUUCGUGGUGUAGCGGUGAAAUGCUUAGAUAUCACGAAGAACUCCGAUUGCGAAGGCAGCUCACUGGACUGCAACUGACACUGAUGCUCGAAA
rnacentral:rRNA from 1 species